rnacentral:rRNA from 1 species
GUAGGGAAUAUUGGGCAAUGGUCGGAAGACUGACCCAGCCAUGCCGCGUGCAGGAAGACGGCCCUCUGGGUUGUAAACUGCUUUUAUCUGGGAAGAAAAAGGCCAUGCGUGGCAAAUUGCCGGUACCAGAUGAAUAAGCACCGGCUAACUCCGUGCCAGCAGCCGCGGUAAUACGGAGGGUGCGAGCGUUGUCCGGAUUUAUUGGGUUUAAAGGGUGCGUAGGCGGCUGAUUAAGUCAGCGGUGAAAGACUUCGGCUUAACCGGAGCAGUGCCGUUGAUACUGGUUGGCUUGAGUGUCGGAGGGGUACAUGGAAUUGAUGGUGUAGCGGUGAAAUGCAUAGUUACCAUCAGGAACACCGAUAGCGAAGGCAUUGUACUGGCCGACAACUGACGCUGAUGCACGAAAGUGUGGGGAUCGAACAGGAUUAGAUACCCUAGUAGUCC